rnacentral:rRNA from 1 species
UACGUAGGGGGCAAGCGUUGUCCGGAUUUAUUGGGCGUAAAGAGCGCGUAGGCGGCCAAGCAGGUCCGCUGUGAAAACUCGAGGCUCAACCUCGAGACGUCGGUGGAAACCGUUUGGCUAGAGUCCGGAAGAGGAGAGUGGAAUUCCCGGUGUAGCGGUGAAAUGCGCAGAUAUCAGGAGGAACACCAGUGGCGAAGGCGGUGCUCUGGGCCGGAACUGACGCUGAGGAGCGAAAGCGUGGGGAGCAAACAGG